AGUUAAAAUGCAAAUGGAGGGCAGACUGAGAGUGCAUCAACCUCUCACAUCUCAGAGCCUAAAAGGCGGCCUUUCAGUGCCUUCUGUUCAAAUUGCAAAUUCUCUUCCUUUAUCCCCCAAGGCCUGGGAGACAGUUCUGAAUAAUUCUUCCCCAACAAAUUGGCUUUCCUCUUCCCAGCAACAAAAGCCCUUACCGGUUUUAAAAGUGCAAAGAACAAAUUUUAUUCAAGGGUCUUAAGGCAGAUGAAGGUUCACAGAAACUGCAAGGGCAGUUCCAGAGCCUCCACGUACGACCGUGUCCCUUUAACGACUGGUCCUUAUAGGAGGCCAGCAACAGUAUCCUAUUUUCCUGUACAGGCCUGGGAUUCCCAGUAAUUUCUUUGCAUCAGCUUUGUAAGCACAAUUACCCAGAGUUCCCAAGAAUUGGGACAUUUCCAAGAAAUUGCCUAACGGGUCAGAGGAGUGCUGUCAAAUGAGAUGGACCAUCUUAAAAUCAAAACGUGGGUGGAUUCUGCUCAUUGCUGAGCAUUUCACUUCCAUUCUGAAAAGUCUAAGAACGUCACUCCAGGAGAUACAAUGUCAAGGGCUCCCACCACUCUUCAUCAUUGCCCAAGUCGUAAGAAUCAUCCCCCAAAUCCCUUCUAUUUCUCCAAGGUAGGGUAACGCAGGACUGGGUAAGCCUGUUAGGGCAGGUCAGGUUGGCACAUACAGAGGAGGAACUCAGACAGACAGACAGUGACAGGGGACCAGCGGCACUGUGUGCUCAUCACCACCCUCAGGGAUUCAAGGGCCUUGUCCUGGUACCUGCGUCACCUUCUGAAAUAAGUGCUACUGAGGUUCAUGGCCAAGACCCUUCCAGGAAAUUCAGAAAGAGGUUGGCGUCAGUGGGAAAAUAGUCUGUGACCCAGAAGGCGUUUAUUCAACAAGGUGCAAGCUGACAACAUGUUUCUUUGCUCUGGACACUGGAAUUAAACUCUUAAGAGACCCUAUUCUUUUCUGAUGACUGCUUCUUUGGAAAUGGUACAGCUUGGAUUUUCAGGGCAAGAAACUCAUGUUUUCUUGGCUUGCUGAACUGAAUAACAAAAGAAACAGACACGGGGACCUGUCUGCAGCCUAAAGUUUGUUGUCAAAAGAAAUAAUUAGAAAAGUGCUUCUUCAAUUUUUAACCAUCCAACUGAUCCCAACUGUCCAGCCCUUCCCCAGGCAGGGAGAUCACAAGGGCUUUAUUACCUGUGCUCUCAGGGUAAUGAGGCUUUCGUCCUGCUCACCCACAGCCUCCUGUGGUCAGGUCAAGGCCCCACCUCUUCAGCUUCUCACGUACCACUCCCUCGGCUGCAGUCCUGCCCUGGGUAGGAGGAGUCCUAUAGGAUGGGCAGCUGUCUUGUUUUGCUUUGUGCACACACCUGGCCAAGGUGGUGGUCUGCUUUCUGCUCAGGGUCUCAUGAGUGUUCCAUGAACUCACACCCAUCAAUCUCUGGCCAUCAAGACUCAAACAAGCCCCUCAGGUUGGCAGAGAUUGGAGGACCGACCUCAUGUCAUCCCCCCCAUUUUCCACAUUACCGCCAGUUGAGAAUUUUAGCCCCCAUGAUCAGAUGGGUGAGAAAUAGCCCGUCUUCAUUUUCUUCAAAUUAGCCUGACUCUGACUCCACACCAGGCAGGAGAGGACUGAGCCUCAUGGCUACUGGCCCUUCCCCAUCUUCCGAGGCUUCCUCUUGCCCCCUCAGGAGAAGGGCCUUAGACAUUCCACCAUUAUGUGUGUGGUCUGGCAGCUUUCUGCCCUAUGCUCCUAUGGAACUGGGAGCCUUGGACAAGACAGAGUGUCUGAUGCUGAGACGUCAGCCUUUUAAAUGUACUCACGGGUGCUGAGGAGGCCUGGCCUCCUCCUGGGGAUGCAGACAGGGAGCGAGACGCAGGCAACCCCUGCCCACAGGCUCUGUGAACCUCAGAUCUGUUCUCAGUCCAAGAAACGCAAUUCCACUUCCCCUUCACCUCUCUCACUCCGGGACACUUUGCACUACCUUUUCAACGGGCUUAAAAGAGUGGAGGAAAAAUUGUCUUCAGAUAACUUUAAACAGUUUUAAAACAGAAAAUUUAAUUACAGGGACUUCCUAGAUGUUAGAAGAAAGCUCCAGUUAGCUCCAGGUAGCUAGGAAGUAGGAAGAGCCCACCUCUUCUUGGAAUGUGGAAGAACACACAUGAACUCUUAUCUCAUAAAAUCCAAUAGUCAACUACGACAUGGUUUGUGUGAGUGAAAAGACCCCAGAAUGAGACCACCUCAGUGAGCCUGUGCCUGGUGGUCUCAGGGCAUCCCCCUCCUCCCAUCCACCCCUGCUCUGCCCUGUAUCAUGGGGGUCUGGCCUCUGCAGGCUAUGAGCCCUGGGUUCCUGUGUCUCUGGCUUCUGACUGGGCUGGGCCAAUGGGAAGCCUGGAGGGACAUAGGUGUGUACAGGAGUCCGGGUGGGCUUCUUGACUCUCUUUGUUGGGCUGUCUUGCCUGGAGGCUCCUUCCUUCUACAAGCCAGCUCCUGCCACAGAGACCCACCCUGGUUCUAGCUUCCCUUCAGUGAGUCUGAUUCCUGGGCUCUGAUAACUGCCUCCUUCCUUGUGCAUCCGAGAGGUGGUAGCCACUUCCUGAUGCUGUGGACACCAGGGUUGCCUCAAUGUCUCUUGUCUGACGUUUUGGCUCUUCUACGAUCCAGGAAGUCCCUGUAAUUAAAUUUUCUCUCUUAUAAAACUUAGGAUGACUGUUUAUCCUCAUUGGAUCCUGACUUAGCCACUUACUACUAUGAGGUUGUGGUCAAGCUUCUUUCUCCCACUGUGCUCAGUUUCCUCAUCUGGAAAGUGGGAUAAUAAUGGGUUCUUCCUUAGAGAACUCACCCCAGAGUGAGUUAAAUAAGAUAAUACUCAGAGCUUGUUACUUGGAACUGACACAGUAAUAAGUGGUAGUUUUUGGAGUCUGUACCAGAGAGUCCUGAGGUGUGGGCUGAAGGUGAUCUUUGGUGGUGCCUGUUCACUGGAUUCAACAACUGCCAAUCGCAGAGUGAGGAAGUUGUUCACUUUUCAGGUGAUUCUGUUUUUUUCUGUCUCUCUUCUUCUGGACACAAUAAAAGCUGUUCUCUGUUCCUAGUAUGUCUUUAGAACUUGGAGUCUCCAUGACCACGGGAGAAAGAGCAGUUCUCAGAUUGAGGAAGUAGAACCUAACAGCAUUGUUCUGUUUACAUGGAAUUUGCUUUUACAGCCAACUUCUACUGAUGGCAAAUGAUACAGUUUUCCAUUUCUGGAGGUGAUAAAAAGUUAUUUUACUAAUGAAUUCAUUUAAGUUUUUUUUUUUUUUUAAAGAUCGACUUGGAAAAACAGAAGUAAAAGAGUGCAAUUGGGAGGAGCUUGAUGACCUGAGCUUGGAAAGCCUUUCCUGCAGACGUGUUCUGGGGCUAGUGGGUUGAAUUGGGACACAGAACAACAAAGACGGUUUCUGCCUUCAAGGAGUACACGGUUCUCAGCCAAGUUCAACAGGAAUAAUAUGACAGAACAUAAUUAAAUAGCAAGAGGCUUGCUCUCCCUCAUGGAGACGCAUUUGCAUCUAGAGGGAAAAUUGUGAGUAAAAGCAAUGACUACAAAAUGCACAUGUGGAUUCCACCGUGGAAAAGUGGGGAGCCCGGGGCUGGGCACAGCAUCCGAAAUGAAGGUGUGUCACAGGACAGUCGCAUGCUCAGGCUGCCUCAACAGAGAAAUAGGUGAAGGAGAGCAUUUCUCUUUCCACAACUAACAAGAAUCCUGUCUUAACGCGAACUGUUGUUGUUGUUGUUGUUGUUUUUCUUUUUUUUUUUUUUUUUUUGAGACGGAAUCUCACUGCGACACCCAGGCUGGAGUGCAAUGGCGCAAUCUCGGCUCACUGCAACCUCCCCUUCACUUCCCAGGUUCAAGUGAUUCUCCUGCCUCAGCCUCCCAAGUAGCUGGGAUUACAGAAACUAUAAACAUUGAAAGGAAUGCUGGGGCCUCCAAAAUCUGCAAUUACAUUUCUCAUAAAUGGCAACUCAUUGUCAUCCUGCAGACGUGGAUUAACCCACAGGACGGGGUCUGAACCGGGAACACUUGCAGGUUAACAGCAGCAACAUCCACUCCAACAGAAUCACCCCCAUCGCAGUGAGCAAUGAGCAAAAACAUGGCUCAGAAACAGUUUCCCCAGAUGUUCAAUAAAGGACAUUUAAAUGAGACAUUUACCAUCUGGUUAAUAACACAGCAUUGAGUGGGACUUGGUAACAAUAUCCCAAUACGUAAGCUUUUAAAAUCAGUUCUUUUCCCUGAGCAUAAAACUGCUUCUCCAUCUGCCCUAUGAAAACAGGCAAUAAAUAAAUGUUUGU